rnacentral:rRNA from 1 species
GACGAACCGAGCGAACGUUGUUCGGAAUCACUGGGCUUAAAGGGCGCGUAGGCGGGUGCUCAAGUCCGGGGUGAAAUCCCACAGCUCAACUGUGGAACUGCCUCGGAUACUGGGUGUCUCGAGGGUGGCAGGGGUAUGCGGAACUAUUGGUGGAGCGGUGAAAUGCGUUGAUAUCAAUAGGAACUCCGGUGGCGAAGGCGGCAUACUGGUCCACUUCUGACGCUGAGGCGCGAAAGCCAGGGGAGCAAACGGG